GCCAGCCCGCUCAAGAACUAAAGGAAUUGACGGGGCCCGCACAAGCGGUGGAGCAUGUGGUUUAAUUCGAUGAUACGCGAGGAACCUUACCUGGGCUCAAAUGUAUGUUGACGUAUUCUGAAAGGGAUACUUCUUCGGACAAUAUACAAGGUGCUGCAUGGUUGUCGUCAGCUCGUGCCGUGAGGUGUCGGGUUAAGUCCCAUAACGAGCGCAACCCCUAUCAUUAGUUGCCAUCAGGUCAAGCUGGGGACUCUAAUGAAACUGCCUACGCAAGUAGUGAGGAAGGUGGGGAUGACGUCAAAUCAGCACGGCCCUUACGUCCAGGGCUACACACGUGCUACAAUGGCCGGUACAAAGGGCAGCUACCUGGUGACAGGAUGCUAAUCUCAAAAGCCGGUCUCAGUUCGGAUCGGAGUCUGCAACCCGACUCCGUGAAGUUGGAUUCGCUAGUAAUCGCGCAUCAGCCAUGGCGCGGUGAAUACGUUCCCGGGCCUU
rnacentral:rRNA from 1 species